rnacentral:rRNA from 1 species
GACGAACGCUGGCGGCGUGCUUAACACAUGCAAGUCGAACGAUGAAGCCCAGCUUGCUGGGUGGAUUAGUGGCGAACGGGUGAGUAACACGUGGGCAACCUGCCCCAAACUCUGGGAUAACUCCUCGAAAGAGGUGCUAAUACCGGAUACGAAUUAGGUAGACAUCUGCACUAGUUGGAAAGUUUUUCGGUUUGGGAUGGGCCCGCGGCCUAUCAGCUUGUUGGUGAGGUAACGGCUCACCAAGGCUACGACGGGUAACCGGCCUGAGAGGGGGACCGGUCACACUGGGACUGAGACACGGCCCAGACUCCUACGGGAGGCAGCAGUGGGGAAGAUUGCGCAAUGGGCGAAAGCCUGACGCAGCGACGCCGCGUGAGGGAUGAAGGUCUUCGGAUCGUAAACCUCUUUCAGUAGGGACGAAGCGAAAGUGACGGUACCUAAAGAAGAAGCACCGGCUAACUACGUGCCAGCAGCCGCGGUAA